rnacentral:rRNA from 1 species
CCUACGGGAGGCAGCAGUAGGGAAUCUUCCACAAUGGGCGAAAGCCUGAUGGAGCAACGCCGCGUGAGUGAAGAAGGUUUUCGGAUCGUAAAACUCUGUUGUAAGGGAAGAACAAGUGCAGUAGUAACUGGCUGCACCUUGACGGUACCUUAUUAGAAAGCCACGGCUAACUACGUGCCAGCAGCCGCGGUAAUACGUAGGUGGCAAGCGUUGUCCGGAAUUAUUGGGCGUAAAGCGCGCGCAGGCGGUUUCUUAAGUCUGAUGUGAAAGCCCUCGGCUUAACCGAGGAGGGUCAUUGGAAACUGGGAGACUUGAGUGCAGAAGAGGAAAGUGGAAUUCCAAGUGUAGCGGUGAAAUGCGUAGAGAUUUGGAGGAACACCAGUGGCGAAGGCGACUUUCUGGUCUGUAACUGACGCUGAGGCGCGAAAGCGUGGGGAGCAAACAGGAUUAGAUACCCUGGUAGUCCACGCCGUAAACGAUGAGUGCUAAGUGUUAGGGGGUUUCCGCCCCUUAGUGCUGCAGCUAACGCAUUAAGCACUCCGCCUGGGGAGUACGGUCGCAAGACUGAAACUCAAAGGAAUUGACGGGGGCCCGCACAAGCGGUGGAGCAUGUGGUUUAAUUGGAAGCAACGCGAAGAACCUUAC